UUUGAAAAUGGUACUCCUUCUACAC
rnacentral:piRNA from 1 species